rnacentral:tRNA from 1 species
AGAAUGAUAAUUUAAAUAAAAUAUUAAAUUGCAAAUUUAAAAAUGUAUAAUCUCAUUCUU